rnacentral:rRNA from 1 species
CCGACGGUGAGGGGUGAAAGCUGGGGGAGCAAACCGGAUUAGAUACCCGGGUAGUCCCAGCCGUAAACGAUGUGCGUUAGGUGUAUCGGUGACCACGAGUCACCGAGGUGCCGAAGAGAAAUCGUGAAACGUACCGCCUGGGAAGUACGGUCGCAAGGCUGAAACUUAAAGGAAUUGGCGGGGGAGCACCACAACAGGUGGAGCCUGCGGUUUAAUCGGACUCAACGCCGGGAAACUCACCAGAUAAGACAGCUGAAUGAUAGUCGGGCUGAAGACUCUACUUGACUAGCUGAGAGGAGGUGCAUGGCCGUCGUCAGUUCGUACUGUGAAGCAUCCUGUUAAGUCAGGCAACGAGCGAGACCCACGCCAAUAGUUGCU